CUACUUUCACUGUCUCUUCCUCUAUUGAGUGUGUGCACGUGUGCACGUGCGCACAUGCAUCGACAUUUAAUAGUGAAAACUAAAAAUACAUCCUUUAUGGAAGUAAGAGGUAUAUCAAUCUUAUCUCAAAUAUGUUAGGCUGGAUUUACUUGCAUUCUAAUAAUUCAACAGAAUACUUUUUUAUUCACAAUAGCUUGUUUAUUUUUCAGCAAAAAUUUUUAAUGUUUACUUGGGCUGUUGUGGACAUCUUCUACUUGAAUGCUGCUUUUCAUUUAUUUGAGCUUGUUCAUGUUUUUGAGUUCUGCUUAUAAGGAUGGAACAUUCUGUGACACUUUUCACCCUGAAGCCAGUGGUUGGAGAGAUUGUGCUUCUUGUAAGAAGGCACCACACCGAUGCUCGCCGACCUUCUGGAGCCCUGAGGUUAUGCAGCAUGCAAAGGACGUGCCUGGAGGACCAUCUAUUGACCCUAAGAGAGUGAUAACUGGAAUUAACUUAGGAGUUGAUCCAAUUCCAUCCCCUGAUUCUGUGGUAUGCAAUGCCUCACCUAAUAAGGUAGCCACUCUAACGACUCCUGGAGCAGUACUUCAAGCACAAUCUCCUUUAGUAGAAAUUGGAGAAGAGUCCUCUGUAAAUUCACCUGAUGAAAUCAAUACAUCUCAUCAUAAGAGUGGUGGAAAGCAUCGAAAGAAUGCCUAUAAACAGACUCAAGUACAAUCCAGAUACUCGCCGAAGACCAGCUCGGAGGAGCUAAAGGAAAUCUGCAGACUGUCACAAUCAAGUCUUAUUCCUUUGUUUGAGAAAGAAUUGACUGCUAGUGAUGCUGACCUCAGGAAUGGGCGCCUUGUGUUACCAAAGAGAUGUGCAGAGGCUUAUUUCCCAAAAAUUUCGGGCCAACAAGGAAACUUCAUUGCAGUACAAGACACAAAAGGAAAUGACUGGGAACUUUACUAUCGUUACUGGUCAAAUACUAAUGGCAAGAUGUAUGUUCUUGAAGGGCUUAAAGAUUACAUAAUCUUGAUGCAAUGGAAAGCAGGUGAUAGAGUUACAUUUUAUAAAAGAGAAGCAGAUGGAAAAUUGGUCAUGGGAUUCAAAAAGUAUCAAGCUGCCAAAUCAGACCAGAAGAGCUCAACAUGAUGUUUUGAAAACAACUGUACCCUUCAAAGACCAGUGUGAAUCUUGUGCUUUUCAUCGAAGGUGUUGAGGUCCUUUUUACACAUGAUGUCAUCAGUCAGCGAACUAAUAGCUUUGUCAGGAACUGACCAUUGUGGCAUUUGUUGAUGUGGAUUCUCAUAUGGCGGUUACGUUGGUGUCAAGUAGGUUCAAGGACAUCUGAAAGGUGCCUCUCUUCUUAAUAUGGACAAAAAGGGAUUAUCCUUGGCAUACCAGUACACAUAUGUGGCUCCACUUCAACAUAACAAGUAAGCUGGCUCACUGGUUAACAGUUGUCAGUCAUACCUAUAAGACAAAAUUAAUUGAGGAUGAGCUUUGUGAAGCGCUGAAUUUGGAUGACAAAUGCUGACUUUACGGUUAGUGGCACUGCUGUUUUUCUUGCUCAACUUCUGGUUUUGGUAGGGGAGGCAAUGUUUAGUACUAAAGCAACUAGAUCAUGCAAUAGCUUACCUUGCUUUAUCUGUUCCGGAAUUCUCAAUAGCAUGUCUCUUGACCGGGAAAAUUUUCGUAUUCAGGUCAGAUGUACAAUUUUUGUUCUUUUCACCAUAUGUUGUAAUCCAUCAAAGAAUAUAAAUUGAGCCUUAUUGCAUUUGAUCAGAUUGCUAGUGUUUUUCCUCAGAAAAUGAUUUGGUCUAACAGCAAUGAAGUGAAUGCUGCUGACUCCAUGCAGUUAUAUUAACAAGGACAGUCAAUGAGGUAGUGAAUAAUGUACCAGGAUACAUUUUGCCUUUCAUUUGUGUUAAAAUCCUUGGUUAGAAUUAUUCUGGUACACAGGUUCUUAUUAGAGUUUUCUAGAAGAGUAGCGUCUGAAAAAACAGGAUAUGAUGAAAAUUUGAAGCCUUUUGUGGAGAAUUGUUGUCUAUUCUUGGCCUAUAUGGGAAUACUUGUUAGAGGCAUGAAGGGCUGUGUUAUAGCCUGUGACAAACUGACCCUUACUUCCAAUGGGUUGGGGUUAGAAACUUAGAAUGUUAUGUAAAUUGUAUGAAUUGAAAAUGUGAUGAAAAUGAAAAUUUUUAUUCGAUUAUUUAUUUAGAUCAAUAUUAAUAAUGAAUACGUAGUAGAGCUUCGUCGUAAUGGUAAGGUUGCUGUCAUAUGGUUUGGAUGUCAUGGUUUCAAAUCGUAAAAAUAAUUUUCUUUUGAAAAUGUAAGAUAAGGCUGUCUAUGUUAGAUCCGGCAUUUUCCAAGUCGCG